rnacentral:tRNA from 1 species
CCAGAUAGCUCAGUCGGUAGAGCAGGGGACUGAAAAUCCCCGUGUCGGUGGUUCGAUUCCACCUCUGGCC